CGGGUGCACUGAUCCAGCCGGGCCUUUCCCUCUGUGGAACCCCAUGGCCUUCACUGGCUGUGGUGGGGAAACAGGACUUUUACUUUGAAAAAAUUAGAGUGCUCCAGGCAGGCCUAUGCUCGAAUACAUUAGCAUGGAAUAAUAGAAUAGGACGUGUGGUUCUAUUUUGUUGGUUUCUAGGACCGCCGUAAUGAUUAAUAGGGACAGUCGGGGGCAUCAGCAUUCAAUUGUCAGAGGUGAAAUUCUUGGAUCUAUUGAAGACUAACUACUGCGAAAGCAUUUGCCAAGGAUGUUUUCAUUGAUAAGGAACGAAAGUUAGGGGAUCGAAGACGAUCAGAUACCGUCGUAGUCUUAACUAUAAACUAUGCCGACUAGGGAUCGGACGAUGUUAUUCUUUGACGCGUUCGGCACCUUUCGAGAAAUCAAAGUGCUUGGGCUCCAGGGGGAGUAUGGUCGCAAGGCUGAAACUUAAAGAAAUUGACGGAAGGGCACCACCAGGGGUGGAACCUGCGGCUUAAUUUGACUCAACACGAGGAAACUCACCAGGUCCAGACACAGUGAGGAUUGACAGAUUGAGAGCUCUUUCUUGAUUCUGUGGGUGGUGGUGCAUGGCCGUUCUUAGUUGGUGGAGUGAUUUGUCUGCUUAAUUGCGAUAACGAACGAGACCUUAACCUGCUAAAUAGCCCGUACUGCUUUGGCAGUUCGUCGGCUUCUUAGAGGGACUAUCGG
rnacentral:rRNA from 1 species